AUUGAACGCUGGCGGCAUGCCUAACACAUGCAAGUCGCACGGGGUCGCGAGGCCCACGUGGCGGACGGGUGAGUAACGCGUAGGAAUCUGCCCUGGAGUGGGGGACAACCUGGGGAAACUCAGGCUAAUACCGCAUGAGCUCGGGAGAGGAAAGCGGGGGACCUUCGGGCCUCGCGCUGCAGGAUGAGCCUACGUCCGAUUAGCUGGUUGGUGGGGUAAAGGCCCACCAAGGCGACGAUCGGUAGCUGGUCUGAGAGGAUGAUCAGCCACACUGGGACUGAGACACGGCCCAGACUCCUACGGGAGGCAGCAGUGGGGAAUAUUGGACAAUGGGCGCAAGCCUGAUCUAGCCAUGCCGCGUGGACGAUGAAGGCCUUAGGGUUGUAAAGUCCUUUCAGAUGGGAAGAUAAUGACGGUACCAUCAGAAGAAGCCCCGGCUAACUCCGUG
rnacentral:rRNA from 1 species